UACUAGAGUAGCACUCGCAUAUCAAUAAGCGGAGGAAAAGAAACUAACAAGGAUUCCCCUAGUAACGGCGAGUGAAGCGGGAAGAGCUCAAAUUUGAAAUCUUAAAGGGUUUCCCUUUACGAAUUGUAGUUUAAAGAAGUGUUUUCUGUUGAGGUUUUGGUAAAAGUUCUUUGGAAUAGGACAUCAUAGAGGGUGAGAAUCCCGUAUUUGACCUUUACUUUCAACUUUGUGAUACACUUUCAAAGAGUCGGAUUGUUUGGGAAUGCAGUCCAAAAUGGGUGGUAAAUUUCAUCUAAAGCUAAAUAUUGGCGAGAGACCGAUAGCGAACAAGUACCGUGAGGGAAAGAUGAAAAGAACUUUGAAAAGAGAGUUAAACAGUACGUGAAAUUGUCAAAAGGGAAGCGUUUGACACCAGUGUUGUUUUUCUGAAAAUCAAUUAAAGAACUGUUUAUGCUAAGUUGUUUAGACUUUAUCAGCUAUCUGCUUAGUUUUGAGCUUUUCUUUAAUGCACUUUUCAGUUAACAAGUCAACAUCAAUUUCUUUUGCUGUAAAAAAGCUUGAGGGAGGUGGCUUGAGAUUCGUCUUAAGUGUUUAUAGCCUCUUGCCUAUGCAGUCGGAGAGAUUGAGGUCUGCAGCGUAGAUCCUUCGGGGCUAAAUGCAUUUGUGCUAAGUUAUAGCAUUUUAUAGACAACUUGUUGACUAUGAUUUGUCUUGUAGCUUACUCGCUUAUGUUAUUUUACCUACGCUUAGGAUGUUGAGUAGCGACAUACGCAC
rnacentral:rRNA from 1 species